GACUUCGUCAUCUUUUCCGGUCCGAUCCGGGAAGAAAUUAUUCGUGAACUCGCUUAUGAUUGCGCGAGAGAUAGACUGUUAAUUUUCGUUUGAAAGUUAGACUGGUAAAAGGCCAAGUUUGGAGACACGAUGGUGUAAUCGAGAUUCGAUCGAAUUCUAACCUGCGAUUAUGCGCCACCCGCUAUCUUGACGUUUCCAGCAACGACCUUGUGAACUCGCCCGCGCCUCUGUGUUCGCAUGUUUACGCGCACGUAUGUGUGUAACCGGCGACUAGCCACGAGUUCCUGUCGCGUUGAUAUUUGUCGCAUUUUUGCGUUGUACUUUCUAUUCUUUUGUCAAAGAUUUUGUCGCAAGUAAGUAGCGCAAGCAAACAACUUCGGUAAGAAAUAAUAUACUUUUAUCGAAGUUUUUGAUGGUCUAGUUUUCAAAACUUAUUAUUUAGAUGGAAUAGAGAACUGCUGAAUUAAGCUCUUGCUGAUCGUAAUGCCUGUAUCAGACUAGACAUAGAGAGUGGAUUAGAAUUAAAGGAAACUUCACUAAAGAGAUUGGUUUUUGAUCAAUCUAAUCUCAGUUUUAAUCUGUAGUCUGAUACAGACAUAAUAUUGUUAUGAUAGAAAUUCUAUAUGAUUUCUAUAUUUUACAUAAUACAUAUUUACAGAAAUAGAAGAGAAAAGAAGGAAUGUGAGAGCAACUGACACAAAUAAAUUGCAGUUGCAAUGUGGGUGCAGCUGCACUGGUGAAGGUCACUUCCUUAAACCUGUAUUGAACUAUACUAUGCAUAGGAGAUUGAGGAUUACAAAUUUGAAAUCAGAAUUUAAUCAAUCGGAACAAAUUGAAAUUAAUUUUAAAUUUAAAGUUUAUGAUUGUGUUUCAAGAAGAAUUGUGUUUGACACAGCUUUUAAAAAACUGAAUAUGCAUUUAAAAUUUGCAUAUAAAAUAAUGUUAAGCACUAAGAUCCAGCCUCGAGUGUAGUUGAUCCUUUUUUACUUAUUUGUGUGAUUACCGAAAUGAUCUAGCUUAAAUUAUUAUUGUUUAAAUUUAAAAUUAUAAUACAAUUAUAACCUUUAAUUUUUGUAAUCCUGAAUCUCCAAUGUAGUCUGAUGAACAAGUUUUACAUCUUGUUUUUAAUUUACUUUUCUGAGAAAAUUAAACUCAACUUAUGUUCCUUGACAAUACACUUGAUUACAUUCACAAAUUUUAUCUCUUAAAAAAAAA
rnacentral:lncRNA from 13 species